GGAGGUUACUCAUUAACCUUAGGUAUUUUACUGUGUAAUUAUAACCGCCGACGCCCCAGGCUUGGAAAACCUUUGAACUCCUUAAGGUAUUAGGGGAUGGCAGAAAGGGUAUUAUCUGACUUUUCUUCCUUUUCCAGUUAGGUUAAUUUUGGAGGUGCCUGCAUGCACCCCUUCCCCCCACCCCCUCCGAGGGGAAACGCUUCCAGCACUUUUUGCCUCCUUUCUGGUCUUAGAUUCUGAACUAAACCUGUUCGUGUCCAAUUUCUUUGAUACAGGCCACAGUGAAACUGUUUCCCCUUUGUUUUAAAGUCCUGUGGGACACUGAGAAGUCCCAGAGGCUGGGAAGUGACUGGCAGGCACCCUUUGGCUUCUCGGGGGCUCUGUGAUGCCCCCCACACAAUGACUGGAAUUAGAUAUCCUGUACAGCCUUCUUUUGACACAACGGAAGGCCUCCUCUCGGCUUUCUGCAAGCAGCGUUUCACUCCCAGGCUCCGCGGGAGCCAGGUGCAUAGCUUCAUAAUGCGCCUAUUAUACAGCCAGGCUCAGUCGCCAUGGCUCACACAAUGACCCUUCUGAUCUGGCCACAACAGUGGGGAUGGGUGCCAAGACUUCAGUCCCCAGCCACUGCAGAUUUAGGUAUGCACUUCGGGUAUAUUUGCAACCUCUCUCUCCUUCCCCAAAGAGGGGAUUGAAUGCACCCCCAACAUACACGUACUCCGUUUCAAGACAAACAAGACUAACUGGGGCAAACCACCUGCGCGCGCAGCUCCGGGUCUUUCUGGCCUCCGCCUAGACAUUCCAGGUAACUUGAGGAGGACUGGGAGGCCACGUGAUCUCGUUGGCAGGGGCUCACCUUGCUCCAGCAGGGACAGGUGAGCCCCGCCACCUUGGUGGGAGCCUGCGUUUUGCAAACUCAGUCUGCACCGCCCCACGGCUGCUCAGAUCGGGACAAAACAAAGGCUGGACUGGCAUUUCGGCUUCACGGAGCUGAACCGCAGGACCCCAGCGCGGACACAGUGGCCCAGCUUUGCAAGUCAGCUCUGCCUGCCCCGAACGCGCAUCUUCCAUCUACCGAAUGGGGGGCAGUGGAAAGUAGAGACCUCGCUCAAAGCUGUGAAAUCUUCAAAGCCAACCUUCACCAGAUGAUCUCCUAAAUCCCUUCCUCUGACGUCAGUGACCCAAUGCAGCCAUUUACCUGAGAGACAGUCACGUACGGUCUGUGUCUUACUGACACCCUAAGGCUGCUCUACUGUCCGGACAUCUUCCGAUCAACUUGCCACAUCUGGUCAUUCAGCUCCUGAACCAUUGCUAAAGAACAGGAUGUGGUUUCACAAGCCAGAAGAGGACACCAGACCUUAUUACAGGUGGUUGUGAG